rnacentral:rRNA from 1 species
GACGAACGCUGGCGGCGUGCUUAACACAUGCAAGUCGAACGGUAAGGCCCCAGCUUGCUGGGGUACACGAGUGGCGAACGGGUGAGUAACACGUGGGUGACCUGCCCUGCACUUCGGGAUAAGCCCAGGAAACUGGGGCUAAUACCGGAUAGGAGCGCACGCUGCGGGGGUGGGGGAGGGAUUUUUCGGUGGGGGAUGGGCCCGGGGCCUAUCAGCUUGUUGGUGGGGGAGUGGCCUACCAAGGCGGCGACGGGUAGCCGGCCUGAGAGGGUGGACGGCCACAUUGGGACUGAGACACGGCCCAGACUCCUACGGGAGGCAGCAGUGGGGAAUAUUGCACAAUGGGCGGAAGCCUGAUGCAGCGACGCCGCGUGGGGGAUGACGGCCUUCGGGUUGUAAACCCCUUUCACCAUCGACGAAGGGUUUCUGACGGUAGAUGGAGAAGAAGCACCGGCUAACUACGUG